GUCUCAGGCCGUAUCAGCCUGAAGGCGCCCGAUCUCGUCUGAUCUCGGAAGCUAAGCAGGGUCGGGCCUGGUUAGGAUCUUGGGAUGGGGAGACCACCUGGGAAUCCCGGGUGCUCGAGGCU
rnacentral:rRNA from 1 species